UGCUUGCUUGCCUUCGGCAAAGCGGGGAGUGGGACGUUUGGUAGCGUUGAGUCUUGCGGACGGGACGGCGUGUGAGAUGCGAUCGGGAUGUUUGCGCUAUCUGGCUCCAUGCUCAUGGUCAUCGAACUGCUAGCUUGCAACCCUUAUCAAGCUUGCCUUGUGCCGCUCGGCAUUGGCGUUCACUUGUGGUUCUUGUGUUGCCUACCUGUUUGGUGGUAUUCAUUUGCCUCUUAAGACCCGUUCCAUCCAGACCCCCCUUUGAGGUUGCUGGUGAAUUCGAAAGUGACGCGUGUUAUGCGUUAGUCGUGUGUAGUAACACGGCUCACGUUCUCUCAUGUGUCUAUUGUUCCCUUGGAUGCGGUGCAUGCGGUGAAACGUGGUGUGCUUAUUGUGCCCCGUUGUGUCCCUUUGAUAUAUCGGUUGCCUAUGGAAGACACUUUGCCGUAGUGCCAGUGUUGCUAUCCCAUUGGUGGUGGCAACACUUGCACAUCGUGCAGAGUCGUCAAUGG
rnacentral:misc_RNA from 1 species